CUCUUGACCUUGUGAUUGCUCAAGCUACAAACAAAAGAUGUUAGUGACAUAUUUUUGUGCUUUUGGUUAAUGAAUAAAGAUGAGAAAAGCAAUAAUGUACAAUUUCAAGCAUACAUGGUGAUCUCAAACCACUCACAAGAGGUCCCACCCAAAGGCAAAGGGAACCAAGAUGCUCAUGAUCCUUGAGGCUUUGCAAAUGCAAUAUUAUGAUGCCAUGAGGGAUCUUAGGGUCAAAAUUGGGGUCUUACAGAUGCCCC
rnacentral:lncRNA from 1 species